AGUUUGCAUAUCAAUAAGCGGAGGAAAAGAAACUAACAAGGAUUCCCCUAGUAACGGCGAGCGAAGCGGGAAGAGCUCAAAUUUGAAAGCUGGCGUCUUCGGCGUCCGCGUUGUAAUCUCGAGACGUGUUUUCCGUGCGGCUCUAUGGACAAGUCCCUUGGAACAGGGCAUCGUAGAGGGUGAAAAUCCCGUACUUGCCAUGGAAGUACCGUGCUUUGUGAUACACGCUCCAAGAGUCGAGUAGUUUGGGAUUGCUGCUCAAAGUGGGUGGUAGACUCCAUCUAAAGCUAAAUAUCGGGGAGAGACCGAUAGCGAACAAGUACCGUGAGGGAAAGAUGAAAAGCACUUUGGAAAGAGAGUUAAAAGUACGUGAAAUUGUCGAAAGGGAAGCACUUGAAGUCAGCCAUGCUGCUUGAGACUCAGCCUGGCUUUUGCUUGGUGUAUUUCUCGGUAGCAAGCCAGCAUUGGUUUGUGUCGUCGGAGAAGCGCAUGGGGAAUGUGGCAUCCUCGGAUGUGUUAUAGCCCUGUGCAGGAUACGACGACGUAGACCAAGGAACGCAGUGUGCCCUCUGGGCGGGUCUUCGGACACCUUCACACUUAGGAUGCUGGCGUAAUGGCUUUAAGUGGCCCGUCUUGAAACACGGAACCACU
rnacentral:rRNA from 1 species